CUUCCUGUAUUGCAGAGAAGAAUCUAUAAAAAAAAAAAAAAAUAUGUUUAGACAUAGUUUCUAGAUAAUUUUUGUCAACAUUUUUGUCCAGUUUGAAACAGAGAAAUUGUGUCAACAAAGUAAAACUAGUAAAUAAUUGCACUUGUGGAACAGAGUGUCACAUGACAUGAUUGCAAUAAGUUCAAUGAAUAAAUGAGUCAGUUAUUCAACUGCUAGAACUAAUGUAUUAUAUUUUUUUAAAAAUAUAUUACUUGCCCAUAUUUAUAUUAUAGACAGAAGAGGAAUAGCUCAACUUGUAAGGAUAAAAUGAUAUUAGAUUGUCUAACCUAUUGUAUGUAAUGCAUCCUUUAGCAUUGUAUCUAGGUUGCUCAAGUUCUAAAAGGAUUUAAAAAAAUGGAACAUACUCAAUCACAGUUACCAAACUUGUUAUCAAAAAUAUAUUGCAGUGCCCUAUUAAGGCUUCAUUUUCAAAUUUAUUCUUAGAUAAUGCAUAACUGAGAUAAUUUUGAAUAAUUUGAUCAUUCUAUUUUAACCUAAGGAUAAUAUGAAGUGAAAUAAAUGUUUCACAAAAGCUUACUGCUCCUUACUUGUAUAUCUUAAAAUGCAAAUAAAAAACAACAACUCAUGUACAAUAAAGAAAGAGUAAACAUGAUGCAUUAAUGUCAACCGCUCAUUUUGGCCAUUGUUUGUCUUUGGAAGAAGCCUCAGAUUCCAAUAUGUGUUGACUCUAAAUAUAGAAUCGCUUGUGAGGAGGAUUAUGGACAAAGAUGUGGGCAGGCUCCAGGAGGUGCACAUAAUCACCUGACCUGAGUAGCAAUGUGGAGGCCAGAUAACAACAGCUUUUUUUUUUAUUUGAGAGAUGGAUAAUCAAAGGAGAAGUUGCAUUGGUACUUGGUCAAACUGCUAGGCGCUGGAUCAUGGUCUGUGCCCUUGACAGGGCUUAUCAAUGUUUCCUCAUAUACUCCUCCUCUACUCUCAAUAACCUUAGUACUGGUAUUAUUAUAUGUUACAUAUCAUGUUUAUUCCUUUGUUUCAGCAAUAAAAGCUUCUAGCUCCAUACAAUAAAGAAAAAGUGGGGGAAGGGGGUAUCUAGGAGGUUUUCCAUGUUGCCUUUAGGUGCUGAGUAAAUAUAACUCUGCCUGUUUUGGGUGUUGAACCUCGAGCCUCCUUCAGAGGUAGCCAAGCCAAAUUCAAGCAUGCUUAGCCUCUGGACCACGCAUCCCACUAGAUGAAAUCAUUUUUCCUUAACUAGUUUUAGUAGGACAAAUUAAUGUGACUUAUCGCCUGUUAGGGUUAGUUAGUGUCAUUAGCAGUGCUUUAACUUAUUUCAGACAGGCCCAGUAACAAGUGCAAGGAUAAGUUAAGGUGCAAAACAUAUAACUUUUUAAAAAGUACAACAAAAAAAAAGCCCUUGUCAUUCUUCUACAUGUAAUGAUGUACAAUACUGAGUGUUUGUUAAAGUCAGAAAUGUGAGAUUCACUCCUCAUACAAUGCAAUAUGGUCAAAGAUGAAAUUAAAUAUUACAAGUGUGAAGUAAUAAAAAGUAAUACUGAAUACAUUAGAGUAGAACAAGAGAAUAUCAAAUACUACAUCCAAAAUUAUAUAACAAGAGAGCUCAGUAAAGAGAUAUAUAUUUUUCUGUAUCAACAAAGUAAAAAAUAGGUGGGAUCACAUCAAAAAAUAUAUCUACAUAUAUGUAUAUGUAUAAAACUAAAAUUAAUAAAACAAUUAAUUUAAUGAAACAAAUCUUUAAAAAUGUGUAAUAUUUCAACUGAUUACAAAAAAAACAACAAAAUCUAUUUACAUAGGUGGAAAUACAGGGGGAAAAAAAGUGCUCCAUUUUGUUGGUGCAGGGAAAAGUUAUUUGCUGUUUCAUCUUGAUUCUACAAUUAUGUUACAAAGAUUCUGUGUUAACCCUGUUACUUAUUAAAAAGCGUAUUUCAACUCACUCUGUCUGGUAGAAGUUUUGUAGAUGGUUCUCCUACACCCAUUCUAGGAUCAAGUUGAAACUUUACACAAAUAUUUAUUGUACCAAACAAAACAUAAAUCAGUAAAAAAUCAAAAUUAUCCAAACAGUUCAUUAAUCAUUGGUAAUUAAUUAUUUUGUUUGGUAAUAAAUCCAAAAGUAUAGAGAGAUGUGGGUGGAAUUUUUUCCUAAUUAUUACAUUUUGUAAAUAAUUUAAUCUCCAAGUUCCCAUUCUCGGAUCAAGUUCAAAUUUUUCAUAAUAAUUUAUAGUCAAUGGCAUCACACAAAUCAAUCAAAAAAUUAACCAAUUAUUGGUAAUAAUUUAGUUCUUCUUGGUUCUUCCCCUAAAAUAAGUUUUUUUUUUUGUUGUUUUUUUAAAAUACUUUAUAUAUUUUGAUAGUUUUUCUUUUGCUUGGGAGGGAAGAUGAGGAAUUAUAUUACAAAUGAGAGGCAAUGACCAGAAUGCAUUCUCUGUUUAUUUUUUAAAGUUGAAAAAAAAACUUUCAAAAAUAAACAGAACAAGUAUUCAAAAUCACUGACUAGAGGUGUCUCAAAUUAAAAUAACUUUAAAACUAAUUGAAACAGAGAUAAGUGUUGUAAAAGACAAAACUGAAUAGCAUCAAGAGACAGUACACAUCAAAAUGUAUUGGGGGUUUGGCUUGGUCAGGAAUGAUUUCAACAAUUGUUAGCAAAUUUAUUCAUUCACUCAAACCUCUCUCUUCCUCCUGGCCGAUAUUGCAAAGUGAUCAAUAUUACCGGAGCAGGGAAGGCUAAAGAGUCAAGACUCCUGGCCAGUUAUGCAAGGUCAUUGUGAAGGUCCAUUAGAACAUUUCUUCUCAACCCCCCCCCCCCC